UACGGAGGAGGCAAGCGGUAUCCGGAAUUAUUGGGCGUAAAGCGUCCGCAGGUGGCGAUUCAAGUCUGCUGUCAAAGGUCGGGGCUUAACCCGGGAAGGCAGUGGAAACUGAAUAGCUAGAGUGCGGUAGGGGCAGAGGGAAUUCCCGGUGUGGCGGUGAAAUGCGGAGAGAUCGGGAAGAACACCAGUGGCGAAAACGGUCUGCUGGGCCUGCACUGACACUGAGGGACGAAAGCUAGGGGAGCGAAAGG
rnacentral:rRNA from 1 species